GUGGCUACAACGAAUAUAGGUUGCAUUUGUUAGCAGUACAAUGCAUCCCUGCACAGCCACAUACAUUAACAAGAUGGUUCCUGCCGACAGCAUCUGUCUAGUUAUCAGAUUUUCUGUGCGAUGGUUCCAUACAUU